rnacentral:rRNA from 1 species
UUCUAUGGAGAGUUUGAUCCUGGCUCAGGACGAACGCUGGCGGCGUGCCUAAUACAUGCAAGUCGAGCGGACCGAACAGGAGCUUGCUCUUGUUUGGUUAGCGGCGGACGGGUGAGUAACACGUGGGCAACCUACCCGUAAGACCGGGAUAACUCCGGGAAACCGGAGCUAAUACCGGAUAACACCGAAGACCGCAUGGUCUUUGGUUGAAAGGCGGCUUUGGCUGUCACUUACGGAUGGGCCCGCGGCGCAUUAGCUAGUUGGUGAGGUAACGGCUCACCAAGGCGACGAUGCGUAGCCGGCCUGAGAGGGUGACCGGCCACACUGGGACUGAGACACGGCCCAGACUCCUACGGGAGGCAGCAGUAGGGAAUCUUCCGCAAUGGACGAAAGUCUGACGGAGCGACGCCGCGUGAGCGAAGAAGGUCUUCGGAUCGUAAAGCUCUGUUGUUAGGGAAGAAGAAGUACCGUUCGAAUAGGGCGGUACGGUGACGGUACCUAACGAGAAAGCCCCGGCUAACUACGUGCCAGCAGCCGCGGUAAUACGUAGGGGGCGAGCGUUGUCCGGAAUUAUUGGGCGUAAAGCGCGCGCAGGCGGUCCCUUAAGUCUGAUGUGAAAGCCCACGGCUCAACCGUGGAGGGUCAUUGGAAACUGGGGGACUUGAGUGCAGAAGAGGAGAGCGGAAUUCCACGUGUAGCGGUGAAAUGCGUAGAGAUGUGGAGGAACACCAGUGGCGAAGGCGGCUCUCUGGUCUGUAACUGACGCUGAGGCGCGAAAGCGUGGGGA